GGACAGGGCUCAACUUGGUACUCUUGAAAGAUAUUUUGGAUGCAUAAUGACUGGAACUUACAUACACUUAAGGCUUUGGAUGUCCUGAUGCUAACAAGCUCCACAGAGGCUGUGCAGGCUGGUUUUAUAUCAACUAGAUACAAUCGAAAGUCAUCGAGAGGGAAGAGCAUCAAUUAAAAUCCCUCUAUAAGAUGUGUCAGGGAAGCUACACCCAGGAAGACUCAUGUACGUGCCCUGAAGAGGGAUGGCACCAAUAGAAGUGAUAACACAAAAAGGGGUAAGUCUCACGGGGCCGCAACCCUAGACAAAGAACUGCAUGCAACUAAGGCAUUCUGGGAGCAG